rnacentral:rRNA from 1 species
CCCUUAGAUGUUCUGGGCCGCACGCGCGCUACACUGACGAAUGCAACGAGCUUAUAACCUUGGCCGAAAGGUCUGGGUAAUCUCCAAAUUUCGUCGUGAUGGGGAUAGAUUAUUGCAAUUAUUCAUCUUCAACGAGGAAUUCCUAGUAAACGCAAGUCAUCAGCUUGCAUUGAUUACGUCCCUGCCCUUUGUACACACCGCCCGUCGCACCUACCGAUUGAAUGGUCCGGUGAAAUCUUCGGAUCUGAGAGAUGUCUGAUUAAUUUCGGACGCCUUUUGGAAAAGUUGCUUAAACCUUACCAUUUAGAGGAAGGUGAANUCGUAACA